rnacentral:miRNA from 2 species
UCUGGUAUGUAGUAGGUAAUAA